GAUGAACGCUGGCGGCGUGCUUAACACAUGCAAGUCGAACGGAAAGGCUCCUGCUUGCAGGGGUACUCGAGUGGCGAACGGGUGAGUAACACGUGGGUGAUCUGCCCUGCACUUCGGGAUAAGCCUGGGAAACUGGGUCUAAUACCGGAUAGGACGAUGGUUUGGAUGCCAUUGUGGAAAGUUUUUCGGUGUGGGAUGAGCUCGCGGCCUAUCAGCUUGUUGGUGGGGUAAUGGCCUACCAAGGCGUCGACGGGUAGCCGGCCUGAGAGGGUGUACGGCCACAUUGGGACUGAGAUACGGCCCAGACUCCUACGGGAGGCAGCAGUGGGGAAUAUUGCACAAUGGGCGCAAGCCUGAUGCAGCGACGCCGCGUGGGGGAUGACGGCCUUCGGGUUGUAAACUCCUUUCGCUAGGGACGAAGCGCAAAUGACGGUACCUGGAGAAGAAGCACCGGCUAACUACGUG
rnacentral:rRNA from 1 species